UGAGGAAUAUUGGUCAAUGGUCGGAAGACUGAACCAGCCAUGCCGCGUGCAGGAAGACGGUCCUAUGGAUUGUAAACUGCUUUUGUACGGGAAGAAACACUCCUUCGUGAAGGAGCUUGACGGUACCGUAAGAAUAAGGAUCGGCUAACUCCGUGCCAGCAGCCGCGGUAAUACGGAGGAUCCAAGCGUUAUCCGGAAUCAUUGGGUUUAAAGGGUCCGUAGGCGGUUAGAUAAGUCAGUGGUGAAAUCCGGCAGCUUAACUGUCGAACUGCCAUUGAUACUGUUUGACUUGAAUUACUGUGAAGUAACUAGAAUAUGUAGUGUAGCGGUGAAAUGCUUAGAUAUUACAUGGAAUACCAAUUGCGAAGGCAGGUUACUAAUGGUUUAUUGACGCUGAUGGACGAAAGCGUGGGGAGCGAACAGG
rnacentral:rRNA from 1 species